rnacentral:rRNA from 1 species
GAUGAACGCUGGCGGCGUGCCUAAUACAUGCAAGUCGAGCGAACGGACGAGAAGCUUGCUUCUCUGAUGUUAGCGGCGGACGGGUGAGUAACACGUGGAUAACCUACCUAUAAGACUGGGAUAACUUCGGGAAACCGGAGCUAAUACCGGAUAAUAUUUUGAACCGCAUGGUUCAAAAGUGAAAGACGGUCUUGCUGUCACUUAUAGAUGGAUCCGCGCUGCAUUAGCUAGUUGGUAAGGUAACGGCUUACCAAGGCAACGAUGCAUAGCCGACCUGAGAGAGUGAUCGGCCACACUGGAACUGAGACACGGUCCAGACUCCUACGGGAGGCAGCAGUAGGGAAUCUUCCGCAAUGGGCGAGAGCCUGACGGAGCAACGCCGCGUGAGUGAUGAAGGUCUUCGGAUCGUAAAACUCUGUUAUUAGGGAAGAACAUAUGUGUAAGUAACUGUGCACAUCUUGACGGUACCUAAUCAGAAAGCCACGGCUAACUACGUG